rnacentral:rRNA from 1 species
CCUACGGGAGGCUGCAGUGGGGAAUAUUGGACAAUGGGGGCAACCCUGAUCCAGCCAUGCCGCGUGUGUGAAGAAGGCCCUCGGGUUGGAAAGCACUUUCAGUGAGGAAGAACGCCUGGUGGUUAAUACCCAUCAGGAAAGACAUCACUCACAGAAGAAGCACCGGCUAACUCCGUGCCAGCAGCCGCGGUAAUACGGAGGGUGCGAGCGUUAAUCGGAAUUACUGGGCGUAAAGCGCGCGUAGGUGGCUUGAUAAGCCGGUUGUGAAAGCCCCGGGCUCAACCUGGGAACGGCAUCCGGAACUGUCAAGCUAGAGUGCAGGAGAGGAAGGUAGAAUUCCCGGUGUAGCGGUGAAAUGCGUAGAGAUCGGGAGGAAUACCAGUGGCGAAGGCGGCCUUCUGGACUGACACUGACACUGAGGUGCGAAAGCGUGGGUAGCAAACAGGAUUAGAUACCCUAGUAGUC